GUCGGGAGUGGUUGUGUACUCCUGUAAUCCAACAACUCGGAGGCUGGGUAUAGAGGAUGGUUUAGAGGCGGGGGUUCUUGGUUUGGAUUUUCCACGUUGACUAGGCGUCCGGUGUAAAAACAGACCUGUACCUUU
rnacentral:SRP_RNA from 1 species